rnacentral:rRNA from 1 species
AUUGAACGCUGGCGGCCGGCCUAACACAUGCAAGUCGAGCGAGCGGCGGACGGGCGAGUAAUGCCUGGGAUACUGCCUGCUGGAGGGGGAUAACUACCGGAUACGGUCGCUAAUACCGCACACCAUCAGAUGUGCCUAGACGGGAUUAGAUAGUAGGUGGGGUAACGGCUCACCUAGGCGACGAACCCUAGCUGGUUUGAGAGGAUGACCAGCAACACUGGAACGGAGACACGGUCCAGACUCCUACGGGAGGCAGCAGUGGGGAAUAUUGCACAAUGGGCGCAAGCCUGAUGCAGCCAUGCCGCGUGUGUGAAGAAGGCCUUCGGGUUGUAAAGCACUUUCAGCGGGGAGGCGUUACCCGCAGAAGAAGCACCGGCUAACUCCGUGCCAGCAGCCGCGGUAAUUC